UACGUAGGGGGCAAGCGUUGUCCGGAUUUAUUGGGCGUAAAGAGCGUGUAGGCGGCCAGAUAGGUCAGCUGUGAAAACUCGAGGCUCAACCUCGAGAUGUCGGCUGAAACCAUCUGGCUAGAGUCCGGAAGAGGAGAAUGGAAUUCCCGGUGUAGCGGUGAAAUGCGCAGAUAUCGGGAAGAACACCAAUGGCGAAAGCAGCUUUCUGGGACGGUACUGACGCUGAGACGCGAAAGCGUGGGGAGCGAACAGG
rnacentral:rRNA from 1 species